rnacentral:rRNA from 1 species
UACGUAGGGUGCAAGCGUUGUUCGGAAUUACUGGGCGUAAAGGGCUCGUAGGCGGCCAACUAAGUCAGACGUGAAAUCCCUCGGCUUAACCGGGGAACUGCGUCUGAUACUGGAUGGCUUGAGUUCGGGAGAGGGAUGCGGAAUUCCAGGUGUAGCGGUGAAAUGCGUAGAUAUCUGGAGGAACACCGGUGGCGAAGGCGGCAUCCUGGACCGACACUGACGCUGAGGAGCGAAAGCCAGGGGGGCAAACGGG